GUUCUAGCGAGGGUGUUCGUCGCUUCACCAUUAUUAGAGACGUUUGGUUCUGAGGCGAACAGGGGGAGUAUGUUUGAAUUCCAUGCUAUUAGCUGUAUACAUGCAAUUCAAGCCAGAAAAAACCCAGCAAAACCAUGAACACCUGGUGAAUUUUAUCCUUAUGUAACUAUUGAAUGCAUAGCAUUCCUCAACCAAGAACAAUGCACCUGAUCUUCUGGCUUUUUCUCUCUCAACUACGAAGAUGUCCGCUCUAAAAAGAAAAAGAAACCUGAAGUUCAAGACAUAUAGCCCGAUUGUGAAGUGCCCCUUGAGUUCCUGAGUCCCUUACUCACCAGCAUAACCACACAAACGGAGACAUAUUGAGAUAGAAUUCUAUCCAUGAUAGUCCAGCAAGGCAAGUUCCACAGGCUUGCUCACAAGCCUUGAAAUAUCCCAAAGUACCAAAACCCCGUUCAAGCUGUUCCCAUAGCAGGAGUAGUCUGGUUGAAGCUAAAUGAAUAGAGUACAGAUUUGCACCGCGAAUUGCUUUCGCUUUCGUCCUAAAACUUCCUUUCUAUAUACCCUUUUGUGAAAUUAAUCAUCCCCAGUUCCUAUCGUGGAAUGAAAAAUAAGAUAAAGAAUAAGGAGGAAAGUUGUAUUCGCAGCCGGCAAGGUGGUUGAAACGUUUUUUUGUCAUAUGGAAUUGAAUAGCGUUGCAUAGCUGGAGGGAAAGGAAAACAAGAGAAGCAGAAAUAAAUAUUCUAAAAUUUUGAAAGAAAAUUACAACCGCAAACAAAAUUAAUUAUUCAACCGCAUAUCCAUCCGCAACUGUCUUGAAGUCCUUCGAGAAAUUCACAGCCUGCCCAUCCAUUUCCAUAAGCGAUACUGACUGCACAUCAACAUCCACAAAGGGGCUUUCUUUUUGGAACUUGACGGUCAUCGGGAAAAACUCAUUCUCGUCACUGUUGGGGUCCUCAGACUCAAACUCGAAACUGCCAGAGACAUUCGAUUCGUUGACAGUACCAAUGUUCCAGUCCAGGCUGUCUCCAGUCACUUCAUAAACAGCGUCAUAAUUCGUCACGGUAGGCUCGACAGCACCGAAAGGGAUUGUUACAACAACGUCUCGUAGUGGGUCCGAACCAUUGAGCUCGUACUCAAUGGUAACAGUGCUUGAUUGAGUGCCUCUGUUUACCCAAACGGUAAACGUAAUUGGAAGAACGUCUGUGUUGUCUGUGCCAGUGACGCGCCACCGAAGGACUCCAAUUGAAAUAUUGUGAGGGAAACUCUUUGAAGGGUCACGGAGUUGAAUGACUUUGGAGUUUGUAAAUAGCGCUUUGUCGACAUUAGGAUGGGUACGGAAAACAGCCCCAUGAGUAGGAUUGGCUGUUAAUCCAAGCUUCACUUUUGUAAAUGUAUCGUCCGUGAUACGCAGUUGAAGAUCGCCUUUUAUCUCCCAUGACUUCACUGAGCCAUCGCGGGAAAGCUUGGCGGAAAUGGUUUCAGCCACAGUAACAUGGAUAGGCUCGCGGUCGACAGAUAAUGAGCUGCGCGGUUGAGCCACAUUUUCUGAAAAAGCCUGUGCAGGGGCCGGGGAAACCAGUGGUCUGUCUUCAGCGUCAGGG
rnacentral:sRNA from 2 species